rnacentral:rRNA from 1 species
GGGUCAGUAGGUUGGUCGUGCCACCGGUACGUACUGGUCUCACUGAUUCCUCCUUCCUGAAGAACCGUAAUGCCAUUAAUUUGGUGUUGCGGGGAAACAGAACUGUUACUUUGAAAAAAUUAGAGUGUUUAAAGCAAGCUAACGCUUGAAUACAUUAGCAUGGAAUAGUGAAAUAGGACGAUCGAUCCUAUUUUGUUGGUUUCUAGGAUUGACGUA